CCUACGGGUGGCUGCAGUGGGGAAUAUUGGACAAUGGGGGGAACCCUGAUCCAGCCAUGCCGCGUGUGUGAAGAAGGCCCUCGGGUUGUAAAGCACUUUCAGUGAGGAAGAACGCCUGGUGGUUAAUACCCAUCAGGAAAGACAUCACUCACAGAAGAAGCACCGGCUCACUCCGUGCCAGCAGCCGCGGUAAUACGGAGGGUGCGAGCGUUAAUCGGAAUUACUGGGCGUAAAGCGCGCGUAGGUGGCUUGAUAAGCCGGUUGUGAAAGCCCCGGGCUCAACCUGGGAACGGCAUCCGGAACUGUCAAGCUAGAGUGCAGGAGAGGAAGGUAGAAUUCCCGGUGUAGCGGUGAAAUGCGUAGAGAUCGGGAGGAAUACCAGUGGCGAAGGCGGCCUUCUGGACUGACACUGACACUGAGGUGCGAAAGCGUGGGUAGCAAACAGGAUUAGAUACCCGAGUAGUC
rnacentral:rRNA from 1 species